UACAGAGGUCUCAAGCGUUGUUCGGAUUCAUUGGGCGUAAAGGGUGCGUAGGUGGCGGGGUAAGUCAGGUGUGAAAUCUCGGGGCUCAACCCCGAAACUGCACUUGAUACUGCCUUGCUCGAGUACUGGAGAGGAGAUUGGAAUUUACGGUGUAGCGGUGAAAUGCGUAGAUAUCGUAAGGAAGACCAGUGGCGAAGGCGGGUCUCUGGACAGUUCCUGACGCUGAGGCACGAAGGCCAGGGGAGCAAACGGG
rnacentral:rRNA from 1 species